AGCGAACGCUGGCGGCAGGCCUAACACAUGCAAGUCGAACGGACCCUUCGGGAUUAGUGGCGGACGGCUGAGUAACACGUGGGAACGUGCACUUUGGUUCGGCACAACUCAGGGAAACUUGAGCUAAUACGGGAUGGGCCCUUCGGGGGAAAGAUUUAUCGCCAUGGUAGCGGCCCGCGUCUGAUGAGCUUGUUGGUGAGGUAACGGCCCACCAAGGCGACGAUCAGUAGCUGGUCUGAGAGGAUGAUCAGCCACACUGGGACUGAGACACGGCCCAGACUCCUACGGGAGGCAGCAGUGGGGAAUCUUGCGCAAUGGGCGAAAGCCUGACGCAGCCAUGCCGCGUGAAUGAUGAGGGUCUUAGGAUUGUAAAAUUCUUUCAGCGGGGACGAUAAUGACGGUACCCGCAGAAGAAGCUCCGGCUAACUUCGUG
rnacentral:rRNA from 1 species